UACGUAGGCAGCGAGCGUUGUUCGGAAUUACUGGGCGUAAAGAGUGUGUAGGCGGUGCUCUAAGUUCGGUGUGAAAUCUCCUGGCUCAACUGGGAGGGUGCGCCGGAAACUGGAGUGCUUGAGCGUGGGAGAGGAAAGCGGAAUUCCUGGUGUAGCGGUGAAAUUCGUAGAUAUCAGGAGGAACACCUGUGGUGUAGACGGCUUUCUGGACCAUAGCUGACGCUGAGACACGAAAGCGUGGGUAGCAAACAGG
rnacentral:rRNA from 1 species